GUUGUGAGGUUAAGCGACUAAGCGUACACGGUGGAUGCCCUGGCAGUCAGAGGCGAUGAAGGGCGUGCUAAUCUGCGAUAAGCGCCGGUAAGGUGAUAUGAACCGUUAUAACCGGCGAUACCCGAAUGGGGAAACCCAGUGUGACUCGUCACACUAUCAUUAACUGAAUCCAUAGGUUAAUGAGGCGAACCGGGGGAACUGAAACAUCUAAGUACCCCGAGGAAAAGAAAUCAACCGAGAUUCCCCCAGUAGCGGCGAGCGAACGGGGAGGAGCCCAGAGCCUGAAUCAGCAUGUGUGUUAGUGGAAGCGUCUGGAAAGGCGCGCGAUACAGGGUGACAGCCCCGUACACAAAAGCGCAUGUGCUGUGAGCUCGAUGAGUAGGGCGGGACACGUGGUAUCCUGUCUGAAUAUGGGGGGACCAUCCUCCAAGGCUAAAUACUCCUGACUGACCGAUAGUGAACCAGUACCGUGAGGGAAAGGCGAAAAGAACCCCGGCGAGGGGAGUGAAAAAGAACCUGAAACCGUGUACGUACAAGCAGUGGGAGCCCCACCACUAAGCCAGUGGUGAACUCCACAUACGCAUCCUUUGCUGAGGAUACGGUUAACGGAGCGAAAGCGACGUUCAACCUCAAAAGAAGCAGAGGGGGCUUAGUGGUGGGGUGACUGCGUACCUUUUGUAUAAUGGGUCAGCGACUUAUAUUCUGUAGCAAGGUUAACCGUAUAGGGGAGCCGUAGGGAAACCGAGUCUUAACCGGGCGUUAAGUUGCAGGGUAUAGACCCGAAACCCGGUGAUCUAGCCAUGGGCAGGUUGAAGGUUGGGUAACACUAACUGGAGGACCGAACCGACUAAUGUUGAAAAAUUAGCGGAUGACCUGUGGCUGGGGGUGAAAGGCCAAUCAAACCGGGAGAUAGCUGGUUCUCCCCGAAAGCUAUUUAGGUAGCGCCUCGUGAAUUCAUCUCCGGGGGUAGAGCACUGUUUCGGCUAGGGGGCCAUCCCGGCUUACCAACCCGAUGCAAACUGCGAAUACCGGAGAAUGUUAUCACGGGAGACACACGGCGGGUGCUAACGUCCGUCGUGAAGAGGGAAACAACCCAGACCGCCAGCUAAGGUCCCAAAGUCAUGGUUAAGUGGGAAACGAUGUGGGAAGGCCCAGACAGCCAGGAUGUUGGCUUAGAAGCAGCCAUCAUUUAAAGAAAGCGUAAUAGCUCACUGGUCGAGUCGGCCUGCGCGGAAGAUGUAACGGGGCUAAACCAU
rnacentral:rRNA from 1 species